GUACUGUGCGAACGUUAUUCGGAAUCACUGGGCUUAAAGGGGUGCGUAGGCGGCUAGUUUAAGUAGGGGUGUGAAAUACCCCCCCGGGCUCAAACCCGGGGGGAACUGCGCUCUAAAACUGAAUGGCUUGAGCAAGAUAGGGGUGUGUGGAACUUCCAGUGGAGCGGUGAAAUGUGUUGAUAUUGGAAGGAACGCCGGUAGCGAAAGCGGCACACUGGGUCUUGUCUGACGCUGAGGCACGAAAGCCAGGGUAGCGAACGGGAUUAGAUACCCCGGUAGUCCUGGCUGUAAACGUUGAGCACUAGUCGGGAGGGGCUUCGGCCUUUCCGGAUGCAGCGAAAGCAUGAAGUGCUCCGCCUGGGGAGUAUGGUCGCAAAGGCUG
rnacentral:rRNA from 1 species